CAGCCGCCGCGGGAAUACGUAGGGGGCAAGCGUUAUCCGGAAUUACUGGGUGUAAAGGGAGCGUAGACGGUUAAACAAGUCUGAAGUGAAAUGCCGGGGCUCAACCCCGGAGCUGCCUUGGGAACUGUAGAACUGGAGUGUCGGAGGGGUAAGCGGAAUUCCCAGUGUAGCGGUGAAAUGCGUAGAUAUUGGGAGGAACACCGGCGGCGAAGGCGGCUUACUGGACGACAACUGACGUUGAGGCUCGAAGGCGUGGGUAGCAAACAGGAUUAGAUACCCCAGUAGUCCCUGUCUCUUAUAC
rnacentral:rRNA from 1 species